GUGUCAGCAGCCGCGGUAAUACGUAGGGCGCAAGCGUUAUCCGGAAUUAUUGGGCGUAAAGAGCUCGUAGGCGGUUUGUCGCGUCUGCCGUGAAAGUCCGGGGCUCAACUCCGGAUCUGCGGUGGGUACGGGCAGACUAGAGUGAUGUAGGGGAGACUGGAAUUCCUGGUGUAGCGGUGAAAUGCGCAGAUAUCAGGAGGAACACCGAUGGCGAAGGCAGGUCUCUGGGCAUUAACUGACGCUGAGGAGCGAAAGCAUGGGGAGCGAACAGGAUUAGAUACCCUCGUAGUCC
rnacentral:rRNA from 1 species